GCCGGGGUGGUGAAAUUGGUAGACACGUUGGAUUCAAAAUCCAAUGGGGGCAACUCCGUGUCGGUUCGAGUCCGACCCUCGGUACCA
rnacentral:tRNA from 1 species